rnacentral:tRNA from 1 species
GGGGUCGUAGCUCAGCUGGGAGAGCACCUGCCUUGCACGCAGGGGGUCGGGAGUUCGAAUCUCCCCGGCUCCACCA